rnacentral:pre_miRNA from 1 species
AGGCCCUUUUUGAUUGCUAUGUGAUUCGUCGUAUUGGCCAUAGAUAACAGUCUGAAAGGGCCUUC